UCCAGAUUAUUGGGGACAAAUGUCAGAUUGUCAUAGCCGUAAUGUCUUCCUGGCUGCCUGUGUUAUCAUCUACUGUUAAAAACUUUAUUACCCAUCACGCCAGCCACAGCAGAGGGAAAUCUAAUCAGUCUUCAAUGUAUUUGUAUACAAAAUAACUCAGAAAUUAUUCAGCAGAAUUUCACCAAACCUGGUAGGAACAUUCCUUGGGUGAAUGUCUCCAGGUGAUUAACUUUUGGGCCAGACUGAUCAAAGAUCAAGGUCAAAGUCCUCAGAAUGACAGUCU